AUGAACGCUGGCGGAAUGCUUUACACACUGCAAAGUCGAACGGCAGCACGGACUUCGGUCUGGUGGCGAGUGGCGAACGGGUGAGUAAUACAUCGGAACGUGCCCAGUCGUGGGGGAUAACAUAGCGAAAGCUACGCUAAUACCGCAUACGAUCUAAGGAUGAAAGCGGGGGAUCGCAAGACCUCGCGCGAUUGGAGCGGCCGAUGGCAGAUUAGGUAGUUGGUAGGGUAAAGGCCUACCAAGCCGACGAUCUGUAGCUGGUCUGAGAGGACGACCAGCCACACUGGGACUGAGACACGGCCCAGACUCCUACGGGAGGAAGCAGUGGGGAAUUUUGGACAAUGGGCGAAAGCCUGAUCCAGCCAUUCCGCGUGCAGGAUGAAGGCCCUCGGGUUGUAAACUGCUUUUGUACGGAACGAAAAGGUCCUGGUUAAUACCUGGGGCUCAUGACGGUACCGUAAGAAUAAGCACCGGCUAACUACGUGCCAGCAGCCGCGGUAAUACGUAGGUGCAAGCGUUAAUCGGAAUUACUGGGCGUAAAGCGUGCGCAGGCGGUGAUGUAAGACAGAGGUGAAAUCCCCGGGCUCAACCUGGGAACUGCCUUUGUGACUGCAUCGCUGAGUACGGCAGAGGGGGAUGGAAUUCCGCGUGUAGGCAGUGAAAUGCGUAGAUAUGCGGAGGAACACCGAUGCGAAGGCAAUCCCCUGGGCCUGUACUGACG
rnacentral:rRNA from 1 species